rnacentral:rRNA from 1 species
AUUGAACGCUGGCGGCAGGCCUAACAUAUGCAAGUCGAACGGUAACAGGAAGCAGCUUGCUGCUUCGCUGACGAGUGGCGGACGGGUGAGUAAUGUCUGGGAAACUGCCUGAUGGAGGGGGAUAACUACUGGAAACGGUAGCUAAUACCGCAUAACGUCGCAAGACCAAAGAGGGGGACCUUAGGGCCUCUUGCCAUCGGAUGUGCCCAGAUGGGAUUAGCUAGUAGGUGGGGUAACGGCUCACCUAGGCGACGAUCCCUAGCUGGUCUGAGAGGAUGACCAGCCACACUGGAACUGAGACACGGUCCAGACUCCUACGGGAGGCAGCAGUGGGGAAUAUUGCACAAUGGGCGCAAGCCUGAUGCAGCCAUGCCGCGUGUAUGAAGAAGGCCUUCGGGUUGUAAAGUACUUUCAGCGGGGAGGAAGGGAGUAAAGUUAAUACCUUUGCUCAUUGACGUUACCCGCAGAAGAAGCACCGGCUAACUCCGUG